rnacentral:rRNA from 1 species
UUUUAUUGUUAAUUUAGAUUUAUUGAUUUUUAAUUAAUUUAUUAAUAUACUGUAUCAAAUUUAAAUUUAUGGGCAAUUAUGAUUAAAUUAGUAUAAUUUUAAUGUAAAUUUAAUUACAUUUUUAAGGUAAAAUUAAGGAAUUCGGCAAAUUUAUUUUCUGCCUGUUUAUUAAAAACAUGUCUUUUUGUAAUUAUUUAAAGUCGGGCCUGCCCUAUGAUUAUUUUAAUGGCCGCGGUAUUUUGACCGUGCAAAGGUAGCAUAAUAAUUAGUUUCUUAAUUAGAAGCUGGUAUGAAUGGUUUGACAAGAAAAUUUCUGUCUCAAUUUUAUUAUUAGAAUUUAACUUUUGAGUUAAAAGGCUUAAAUGUUUUUGAAAGACGAGAAGACCCUAUAGAAUUUUAUAAUUAAUUUAAUUAAGAUUUUAUGGAUUAUUUAUUUUUGAUUAGGUUAGUUAUUUUGUUGGGGUGAUGGAAAAACUUAAAUAACUUUUUCUUAUUUAUUCAUUAAUUUAUGA